rnacentral:rRNA from 1 species
UACGUAGGGUGCAAGCGUUAAUCGGAAUUACUGGGCGUAAAGCGUGCGCAGGCGGUUGUGUAAGACAGAUGUGAAAUCCCCCGGGCUCAACCUGGGAACUGCAUUUGUGACUGCACGGCUGGAGUGCGGCAGAGGGGGAUGGAAUUCCGCGUGUAGCAGUGAAAUGCGUAGAUAUGCGGAGGAACACCGAUGGCGGAAGGCAAUCCCCUGGACCUGUACUGACGCUCAUGCACGAAAGCGUGGGGAGCAAACGGG